rnacentral:rRNA from 1 species
GACGUAGGGCGCAAGCGUUGUCCGGAUUUAUUGGGCGUAAAGAGCUCGUAGGCGGCUUGUUGCGUCGUCCGUGAAAACCCGCAGCUCAACUGCGGGCUUGCGGACGAUACGGGCAGGCUGGAGUUCGGUAGGGGAGACUGGAAUUCCUGGUGUAGCGGUGAAAUGCGCAGAUAUCAGGAGGAACACCGGUGGCGAAGGCGGGUCUCUGGGCCGAUACUGACGCUGAGGAGCGAAAGCGCGGGGAGCGAACAGG